AGCUGGCGGAUCUAUGUGGAC
rnacentral:misc_RNA from 1 species